rnacentral:lncRNA from 1 species
CAUUGAUGAUUAUGGGUUUACGCAGUUGGGUAGUGUGUACGCACAUUUGUUUAGAGAAAACAAAUAGUCUAUAAUUUUAGAUUCCAACCCCUUCUUCGGUUGAUUAACAUAAGUGAUGUUAGUAAUUAAAUGGUGCAAGUUUUUUUUUAUGGUGUUAGAUUACGCCAUAUUUACAUAUUGUUAAUAGGAAAAGAGACGUAUCUUCAGAAAAUAGCACAUAAAUAUGUUUUGCCCUAAGGGAUUUACAAACUAGUAUUGUUGUGGUAGAUUGAUAUUUAAUAUAAAAAAAGAGAGACAUACGAACGUAAUGAGAAAAUUUAAGUGAAAUAGAUAAUUGAUAUUAAAGGAAAACUAGCUUUAAAGUAAAAUUUAUUUUUUUUUUCAUAAGCAAUCAUGAGGAC